UACGGAGGGUGCAAACGUUGCUCGGAAUCAUUGGGCGUAAAGCGUGUGUAGGCGGUUUGUUAAGUCGGGUGUGAAAGCCCUGGGCUCAACCCAGGAAGUGCAUUCGAAACUGGCAAACUUGAGUACGGGAGAGGGUCGCGGAAUUCCCGGUGUAGAGGUGAAAUUCGUAGAUAUCGGGAGGAACACCAGUGGCGAAGGCGGCGACCUGGGCCAAUAUUGACGCUGAGGUGCGAAAGCGUGGGGAGCAAACAGG
rnacentral:rRNA from 1 species